GAUGAACGCUAGCGGCAGGCUUAACACAUGCAAGUCGAGGGGUAUGCCGAUUUAUCGGCAGAGACCGGCGCACGGGUGCGUAACGCGUAUGCAAUCUACCUUUCACAGAGGGAUAGCCCAGAGAAAUUUGGAUUAAAUACCUCAUAGUAUAGCGGUUUCGCAUGAAACCACUAUUAAAGUUCCAACGGUGAAAGAUGAGCAUGCGUCCCAUUAGCUAGAUGGUAAGGUAACGGCUUACCAUGGCUACGAUGGGUAGGGUCCUGAGAGGGAGAUCCCCCACACUGGUACUGAGACACGGACCAGACUCCUACGGGAGGCAGCAGUGAGGAAUAUUCGGUCAAUGGACGCAAGUCUGAACCAGCCAUGCCGNGUGCAGGAUGACGGU
rnacentral:rRNA from 1 species